CGGGGCGUGGCUCAGUCUGGUAGAGCACCGCGUUCGGGACGCGGGGGCCGGAGGUUCGAAUCCUCUCGCCCCGA
rnacentral:tRNA from 1 species